rnacentral:lncRNA from 1 species
CAUUUUCUAGAGAGCAGUUAUUGGCUUUUAGGCAGGCAGUUCCUGGAUCUGUAAUGCUACCUCUGAUGCUGAGACUGGCAAAUGGUACUCAUUUAAUUUUUCAGGCCUGACCUUCGAUUGAUGACUAAUGUCAUAAUGGUUUGCUGUGAUGCCCACGGGAGCCUAGUGGAAAGUUGUAUUUUUUGUUUUCUGGAGUAUAUUUUUAUAAUGCUGAUAAUGUAUUUCAUGAUAUAAUACUUUAAAUACUUAUUAGCAGUUUAUCACUCCUUUUUUUUUUUUUUUUUUUUUUUUUUGAGACAGAAUCCCACUCUGUCACCCAGGCUAGAGUGCAGUGGCUCGAUCUGGGGUCACAGCAGCCUCCGCCUCCCAGGUUCAAGUGAUUCUCCUGCCUCAGCCUCCCGAGUAGCUGGGAUUAUAGGCAUGCGCCACCAUGCCCAGCUAAUUUUUGUAAUUUUAAUGGAGAUGGGGUGUUGCCAUGUUGGUCAGGCUGGUUUUGAACUCCUGGCCU